rnacentral:rRNA from 1 species
CCCUUAGAUGUUCUGGGCCGCACGCGCGCUACACUGAAGGGAUCAGCGUGUUUUCCCUUUCCGAGAGGAACGGGUAACCCGCUGAACCCCCUUCGUGGUAGGGAUCGGAGCUUGCAAUUGUUCUCCGUGAACCAGGAAUUCCCAGUAAGCGCAAGUCAUAAGCUUGCGUUGAUUACGUCCCUGCCCUUUGUACACACCGCCCGUCGCUACUACCGAUUGAACGUUUUAGUGAGGUAUUUGGACUGGGCCUUGGGAGGUUUCGACCUCCCUUGUUGCUCGGAAAGACUCCCAAACUUGAGCGUUUAGAGGAAGUAAAAGUCGUAACA